CCCUAGCCCCGAUAGAAGUGGAAAUCCUUUUGUGUAAUGAAAUGGAGCAAAAGAUUGCAACGGAUAGCGGGAUUUGCU
rnacentral:sRNA from 1 species